GGGAAUUAGCUCAAUGGUAGAGCAACCGUUUUACACACGGAAGGUCAGGUGUUCAAAUCCCCUAUUCCUUAC
rnacentral:tRNA from 1 species